rnacentral:rRNA from 1 species
AGACAGCAGUCGCCACGGUAAAACGGAGGGUGCAAGCGUUAAUCGGAAUUACUGGGCGUAAAGCGCACGCAGGCGGUCUGACAAGUCAGAUGUGAAAUCCCCGGGCUUAACCUGGGAACUGCAUUUGAAACUGUCAGGCUGGAGUCUUGUAGAGGGGGGUGGAAUUCCAGGUGUAGCGGUGAAAUGCGUAGAGAUCUGGAGGAAUACCGGUGGCGAAGGCGGCCCCCUGGACAAAGACUGACGCUCAGGUGCGAAAGCGUGGGGAGCAAACAGGAUUAGAUACCCGCGUAGUCCCUGUCUCUUAUAA